AUGAACGCUAGCGACAGGCUUAACACAUGCAAGUCGAGGGGCAGCGGGGGUAGCGAUACCCGCCGGCGACCGGCGCACGGGUGAGUAACGCGUAUGCAACUUGCCUAUCAGAGGGGGAUAACCCGGCGAAAGUCGGACUAAUACCGCAUGAAGCAGGGGCCCCGCAUGGGGAUAUUUGCUAAAGAUUCAUCGCUGAUAGAUAGGCAUGCGUUCCAUUAGGCAGUUGGCGGGGUAACGGCCCACCAAACCGACGAUGGAUAGGGGUUCUGAGAGGAAGGUCCCCCACAUUGGUACUGAGACACGGACCAAACUCCUACGGGAGGCAGCAGUGAGGAAUAUUGGUCAAUGGCCGAGAGGCUGAACCAGCCAAGUCGCGUGAGGGAUGAAGGUUCUAUGGAUCGUAAACCUCUUUUAUAAGGGAAUAAAGUGCGGGACGUGUCCCGUUUUGUAUGUACCUUAUGAAUAAGGAUCGGCUAACUCCGUGCCAGCAGCCGCGGUAAUACGGAGGAUCCGAGCGUUAUCCGGAUUUAUUGGGUUUAAAGGGUGCGUAGGCGGCCUUUUAAGUCAGCGGUGAAAGUCUGUGGCUCAACCAUAGAAUUGCCGUUGAAACUGGGGGGCUUGAGUAUGUUUGAGGCAGGCGGAAUGCGUGGUGUAGCGGUGAAAUGCAUAGAUAUCACGCAGAACCCCGAUUGCGAAGGCAGCCUGCCAAGCCAUUACUGACGCUGAUGCACGAAAGCGUGGGGAUCAAACAGGAUUAGAUACCCUGGUAGUCCACGCAGUAAACGAUGAUCACUAGCUGUUUGCGAUACACUGUAAGCGGCACAGCGAAAGCGUUAAGUGAUCCACCUGGGGAGUACGCCGGCAACGGUGAAACUCAAAGGAAUUGACGGGGGCCCGCACAAGCGGAGGAACAUGUGGUUUAAUUCGAUGAUACGCGAGGAACCUUACCCGGGUUUGAACGCAUUCGGACCGAGGUGGAAACACCUUUUCUAGCAAUAGCCGUUUGCGAGGUGCUGCAUGGUUGUCGUCAGCUCGUGCCGUGAGGUGUCGGCUUAAGUGCCAUAACGAGCGCAACCCUUGCCACUAGUUACUAACAGGUAAAGCUGAGGACUCUGGUGGGACUGCCAGCGUAAGCUGCGAGGAAGGCGGGGAUGACGUCAAAUCAGCACGGCCCUUACAUCCGGGGCGACACACGUGUUACAAUGGCGUGGACAAAGGGAAGCCACCUGGCGACAGGGAGCGAAUCCCCAAACCACGUCUCAGUUCGGAUCGGAGUCUGCAACCCGACUCCGUGAAGCUGGAUUCGCUAGUAAUCGCGCAUCAGCCAUGGCGCGGUGAAUACGUUCCCGGGCCUUGUACACACCGCCCGUCACACCAUGGGAGUUGGAAAUGCCCGAAGUCAGUGACCCAACCGCAAGGAGGGAGCUGCCGAAGGCAGGUUCGAUAACUGGGGUG
rnacentral:rRNA from 1 species